UACGGAGGGAGCUAGCGUUGUUCGGAUAUACUGGGCGUAAAGCGCACGUAGGCGGCGCAGUAAGUCAGGGGUGAAAUCCCGGGGCUCAACCCCGGAACUGCCCUUGAAACUGCAGUGCUAGAAUCUUGGAGAGGCGAGUGGAAUUCCGAGUGUAGAGGUGAAAUUCGUAGAUAUUCGGAAGAACACCAGCGGCGAAGGCGACUCGCUGGACAAGUAUUGACGCUGAGGUGCGAAAGCGUGGGGAGCAAACAGG
rnacentral:rRNA from 1 species